CAGUGCAUGUUAUGGCCCUUUGCAAAUUAUUUUGAAUUACAAAUAGUACGAUGAUAAAUAUUUCUAGACAUGAAUCUCAGUAAGAAUUGGUGCAUGGGGAAAUAGACGUUGUCUUCACCAUUAGGUGAAGUUUGGGCAAAAAAGUAUAGCGAGUGACAUGCCUGGGAUCAUCUUCUCGGCCGUGUGUGCCAUUUUCACUCAGGUUCCCUCACAAAUCACAAACCUCAGAUUGGAGCUGCCAAUCUCUGACAGAAGGCGUGAGAUGGUCAAUUUCCAUGUUAUCUCCCCAUGUGGGUGAGAUAAAGAUGUCUGAACCAAACAGCAUUUCAUAGUUGAGUUCACCAGCCUUGUUCUUAGCCAAAGUGCACUUAAAUCUAAAUAAAAGAAGUGCCCUCCUCUCCCCAGCAAGUUCAAAACACAUAUUCCACUAGGAAAUGACUUCAAAUUCAAGAAAAAUAAUAUAGAUGACCCAAAUCCCAAACUAAGUAACAGAUUUCUUUUUCUAAUGAAAUCCAUAUACAUGAGUCCCUGCUUGCCCAUACUUGAUAGAACAUUCUUCACAAUGUAUAUUACAGGUCCAUUGACAUUCAGCCAUCUCUGAAGUCAAGCUGCCUUUUUAAUUUUCCCUUUUCGCUGAAACAAAGAAAAACCAAAGCAGAUCCUCCAAUGGCCUGAAGCUUCUGUUCUGAGAUGCCAAAGGGAUCUUUGUGACAUCAUUUUAUGUGCUGCUCUGGCCACUGAGAUAAGGGAAGUGGUCAGGGAAGAUGCAGGGGGUCCUUUCCCACCAAUGUCACCUCCUUCUUCUCUCCUAUGUCCCAACCCAGCUGAGUUCCUGGUCUGAGGAAAGGACAUCCGAUUCAAGGAUGAGGCAGAGAGCUUUGGUAACCUUUCUACUGUAAAAUGUUCUGGUGUCGGUAUUCUGGGUGUGACUACAGACUGCAUCUGUUUCAGGAUCGUUCACGCCACUGUCCUGGAGGCCAAGCCAUGGCUGGACAGGGAUGCCAAUGGUACUUAAGUUCACAAUCAGAAGAAACAUCCAGACCUGAACAUCUAGGCUUUUGAGACACCUGUGGACACGGUCUGUAUUGUUCUUGGAGCCACCAUAUCACAUGCUAUUUCAUUCAUGCAUGAACCAAAGUGAGCCCAAAAGAAGAUUCUACAACUGAUAUGCCAUUUGCAUCUCCUUGGAUAAAUAAACAGGUCAUUGGAUAGGUUCUUUAUGAAAGUUGCACGAAAAGAAAAAGAUUCCAUUGAGCUAAUAGAUACCAGUGGUUCCAUUAGCGAUAGUGAAAGUCCUCCUACACGAUAACCCUCCUCUCGCUUGUCUCUCUCACACUAGCCACGAAGGUUUUCAAAGGGUGAUGUGAAAAGGGUGAUACCACAUCAUUACCCUCUGGCUACGUGAACAACCACUAAAUCCACAGUUUUCUGCCUCCCUUACCUACCUCAGUGUUUCUUCAGAGGCAUCAUCCAUGAAAUGAGCUGGCUUCAUAGCAACCCCCGGAGAAGUGUAAGUGAUUUUUUUUUUUUAUCUGACGGAUACGUGUCUUC